GGCCCCGUCGUCUAGCGGCCCAGGACGCCGCCCUCUCAAGGCGGUAGCGCCGGUUCGAAUCCGGUCGGGGCUAC
rnacentral:tRNA from 17 species